rnacentral:rRNA from 1 species
UACGAAGGGGGCUAGCGUUGCUCGGAAUUACUGGGCGUACAGGGAGCGUAGGCGGGUCGUCAAGUUGGGGGUGCAAGCCCAGGGCUCAACCCUGGAACUGCCUUCAAAACUGGCGACCUAGAGUAUGGUAGAGGUGUGUGGAACUCCGAGUGUAGAGGUGAAAUUCGUAGAUAUUCGGAAGAACACCAGUGGCGAAGGCGACACACUGGGCCAUUACUGACGCUGAGGCUCGAGAGCGUGGGGAGCAAACAGG